rnacentral:misc_RNA from 1 species
AACGCACCUUGCGCUCCCUGGUAUUCCGGGGAGCAUGCCUGUUGGAGUGUCAUGAACUCUUCAACCCACCAGUUUCUUGUAGACUGAUUGGUGUUUGGAUUUUGAACGUUGCUGGUCCUUAGGGAUGUGUAGCUCGUUCGUAAUAUAUUAGCAUCUCUAAUUCGAAAUCGGAUUGACUCAGUGUAAUAGACUAUUCGCUGAGGACACCUUAGGGUGGCCGACCUAGAUACUUGUAGAAGCUUCCAACUUUUAUAGUCAAUUUUAGAUUAGACCUCAGAUCAGGCAGGAUUACCCGCUGAACUUAA